rnacentral:rRNA from 1 species
UACGUAGGGGGGCUAGCGUUGUCCGGAAUCAUUGGGCGUAAAGCGCGUGUAGGCGGUCCGGUAAGUCCGCUGUGAAAGUCGGGGGGCUCAACCCUCGAAUGCCGGUGGAUACUGUCGGGCUAGAGUGCGGGAGAGGCGAGUGGAAUUCCCGGUGUAGCGGUGAAAUGCGCAGAUAUCUGGAGGAACACCGGUGGCGGAAGGCGCCCGCUGGGCGAGAAGGGGUGGGUGAAACCAUCCGGGCCU